GACGAACGCUGGCGGCGUGCUUAACACAUGCAAGUCGAACGGAAAGGCCCUGCUUUUGUGGGGUGCUCGAGUGGCGAACGGGUGAGUAACACGUGAGUAACCUGCCCUUGACUUUGGGAUAACUUCAGGAAACUGGGGCUAAUACCGGAUAGGAGCUCCUGCUGCAUGGUGUGGGUUGGAAAGUUUCGGCGGUUGGGGAUGGACUCGCGGCUUAUCAGCUUGUUGGUGGGGUAGUGGCUUACCAAGGCUUUGACGGGUAGCCGGCCUGUGAGGGUGACCGGCCACAUUGGGACUGAGAUACGGCCCAGACUCCUACGGGAGGCAGCAGUGGGGAAUAUUGCACAAUGGGCGGAAGCCUGAUGCAGCAACGCCGCGUGCGGGAUGACGGCCUUCGGGUUGUAAACCGCUUUCGCCUGUGACGAAGCGUGAGUGACGGUAAUGGGUAAAGAAGCACCGGCUAACUACGUG
rnacentral:rRNA from 1 species